UGAUGUGGAUUAAUUCGAAUGCAACGCGAAAAAACCUUACCUACCCUUGACAAUGUCUGGAAACCUUGCUGAGAGGCGAGGGUGCCUUCGGGAGCAGAACACAGGUGCUGCAUGGCUGUCGUCAGCUCGUGUCGUGAGAUGUUGGGUUAAGUCCCGCAACGAGCGCAACCCUUGUCACUAGUUGCCAUCAUUUGGUUGGGCACUCUAGUGAGACUGCCGGUGACAAACCGGAGGAAGGUGGGGAUGACGUCAAGUCCUCAUGGCCCUUAUGGGUAGGGCUUCACACGUCAUACAAUGGUCGGUACAGAGGGUUGCCAAGCCGCGAGGUGGAGCCAAUCCCUUAAAGCCGAUCGUAGUCCGGAUCGUAGUCUGCAACUCGACUACGUGAAGUCGGAAUCGC
rnacentral:rRNA from 1 species